CCUAACCAAAAAAUAUCAAUAUUUUAAUUAAAAAACACAAUUUUAAGUAAAAUAUGUUUAAAAACUACGAAAAACGAAAUUAAAACGGUUUAAAAUACUUAAAACCAACAGUAUUGACUCGAAUCGAGUCCGAAACCAGUAAAAACCGGUUAAAAUCAGCGAUAACCACACAAAACUAUAACGUACAAGCUGUUUUCUGUACCAGCAUGAAGAAAUACCUGAGAGUUUGUAAUUAGUAAUCGUCAAGGUCGACGUCGUCCAGCGGUUCAUCCGCCUGCAGCGACUGAAAGUCUACCUUGUACCGCAAGAUGCCUAACGAGAUCGCAAGCAGUCCGCAAAGCAGCAUGUUAGUAAUAAAAGUCACAGGUUAACAAUUUUGCAAAAGCAAAA